CUUCCAGGCUUCCCUUUUCCAGUGUCGACAUUUACGCCACCCUUGCCUACUCCGACAGAAGUGCUUUUGUCUUCAAUCCAUUCUGCAAAAGUUAGGAAGAAGAAGAAGAAGAAUUAGGAGCAACAUCCUGCCUAGGUAGAUAAAAUUAAUUAUUGAAAUUAUUAUUAUUAUUAUUAUUAUUAAUUAUAAGAGAAAGCGUACGGUGACAAAACGAACUAAACACGCCCAAUAGCACGAAAAAGUACACAUGCAUGCACUCUAACACCAAAUUAAAUAUAGUAAAGUAAAUCAACCCACACAGAGUCAACUGAGAGCAUGAUCGAUCCACAAUAAUUUUCGUGGUUAGCAAAAUUCAUCUGUUCGUCUCCCGGCCUCCUUGUUCUCAAUCGGGAUCGAAGAUCAAAGUUGGCUAAAGAAUGCUGCCAGGUUCGAGUUUUACAAUCAUCCGAGUUACCAAAAUACCCUUGGUACUCCCACAGAAAGUGCCAAUACUCGUUCGUGGGUUCAAUACUCCACUAAUUAAGCGAUUCAAACUUUACAACCACCGUUCGAGCAUUCCCGUCCUUUUACAUCCUUCAUAAACUGCGGAGUAUUUUUCUACUUCGAAGUUGUCUCUAUAGAGCUGUUUCAAUUUUUCUUUUCUUUUCUCAACCACUUCAAAAAGACUUUAAAAUCUCUAAUUUUGACUCCCUGCAGUUUCUUAAUCUUCCAAAAUCUCUGAUUUUAGCACACGCAGUUUUUUUUAAAUCUUUAAAGUUUUCAUUUAGAAGUACAACCUUGUCUUUUAAUGUGUGAAAGAUAAAGUACAACUAAAUAGAAGGGGUCGUUUGUGAAUUUUGUAGAAGGAAUUGAAAUAGGGAAAAAAAAAAAAAGGGAUCAUCUCAGUACUUUUUGGGCAGAAGGAGACAAUCCACAUCGCAACUAUCCAUUGGUAUAAUCAAUGGUUCGGAUUUAUUCAAAGCUCUUUCAUGAAAUGGGAAAACCACCUAUCUUUGUUUAUUCUUAACUUCGUUUUCUCUCAUGUGCAAGGCAAUUUUAGAAUUUCACAUAAAUAUAGACAGAAAAAUUAAUACUAUAUCACAUGUGCAUGUGUAAAAGAAGAUCGAGUAGCUUUCCAAAAUUACUCUGCCUUGCGAAUUUCAGGAAAUACAAACUCUAAAUAUACCAAAGUUAAGUAGGAAAUUAUGAAACUUAUAGACUGAAAGACCAACCAUUGUGAAGGAUAUCCUUGACGGCCUUGGGCAUGGGGGCGUUUGGCAAAACCGAUUUCCAGUAUGCAUCAGGAGACAGAACUGCUUGACUUGCCACAAAAGCUAG